UACAGAGGGGGCAAGCGUUGUUCGGAAUUACUGGGCGUAAAGGGCGCGUAGGUGGCCUUCUAAGUUGAACGUGAAAUCCCUGGGCUCAACCCAGGAACUGCGUCCAAGACUGGGAGGCUUGAAUCCGGGAGAGGGAUGCGGAAUUCCCGGUGUAGCGGUGAAAUGCGCAGAUAUCGGGAGGAACACCUAUGGCGAAGGCAGCUCGCUGGGACGUUACUGACGCUGAGACGCGAAAGCGUGGGGAGCAAACAGG
rnacentral:rRNA from 1 species